GCUAGAGACACAUGCAGGGCAGUCAGUUUUCAAUAGCGUUUAAAAUAAGAGUACAGGAAUAGAAGCAUGUCUCUUCUUGUUUAUUUUCUUGGAUCGUUUGUUUUGCUUUUCCAAGGCGGACAAUGUGAAUUAACAUGGUACAAGAUGCUCUCUGCACGACUGGACGAUAUCGUGUUUGAUAUGAAGUCAAAAGAUAAUUCAAUAACAACACAGGUUCAGGAACUCAAGACUAUGGUGACUGCGACAAAUCAGCAGUUGGCCUCUUUUGAAAAGAGGCUCAGUGCGGUGGCUGAAUGCAAUGCAAAGUUGGUCGCUGUCGAGGAGAGAUUCGCUAAUAUAGACAACCGUUUGAAAGAUGUUGCAGCGGCGGAGGCAGGGCGACGGACGCAUCUGUUGAGACGAGGUCUUGAGCAGGAAAAGGCGGCAACGAUGACAAGAUUUGAUUGUCUCCAGAAGAAACAAGAGAAAAUCCUUUUGCGGAUGGAUGAUAUAGAAAAGUUUCAAGGUGCAAUAAUGACCCGGGCAGAUGAUAUGGAUACUCGAUUGAACGAAACGCGAAUUCAGAUAUCUAAUGUAGAAAAUGAAUUGUAUGUUACUGUUUAUAACACAAGUAACUUAUUUGAAAGUAUUGGCACUCUGGAAAAUAUGCAGGUAGCGAUGAAAGGGACUGAAGAAAAAAGCAGUGCGUUGGUAGCAGCGAUGGAACAGAAAGUCAAAUCUACGCAGCACAACGUUCAGAAACUCCAGUCGCAGGUUCAAACCCUCAUUGAUACGCAAGGGAGUCUUCAGUCUAAGACAAGGACUAUCGAAGCAAAGGUCGAUACGACACGCGCGGAUAUAUCUCGGCUGACUGAAGACAAAACGAGAGCGCUGAUAGCGGUCAUUGAAGAGCAAGUUAAAUCAACGCAGAAAAACUUUCACACACUCCAGUCUCAGGUUCAAUCCCUUGUGGGAACGCAAGCGGAUCUUAAAUCCAAGACAAUGAGUAUUGAAGCACAGGUCGAUACGACACGCGCGGAUAUAUCUCGGCUGACUGAAGACAAAACGAGAGCGCUGAUAGCGGUCAUUGAAGAGCAAGUUAAGUCAACGCAGAACAACUUUCACACACUCCAGUCUCAAGUUCAAACCCUUGUGGGAAUUCAAGCGGAUCUUCAGUCUAAGACAGGGACUAUCGAAGCACAGGUUGAUACGACACGCGAUGUUAUAUCUCGGCUUCAGCGUAUCGUACCAGUGGACGGACAAUGGGGUACAUGGACUUCUUGGUCUCUUUGCACACAUCACUGUAACCAGACACGGACUCGAGCUUGCAACAAUCCAGCACCGCUACAUUUCGGGAGUGAUUGCCCCGGUCUUACAACACAAACGCAAGAAUGUAACACAUAUCUAUGCGGAGGGAAAGAUUGCACCGAGCUUCUGAACAGAGGUGCCCCAAAGCUAAGUGGUGUCUACAACAUUACCACCCCUCUCUCUCACACCAAGAUACAGGUGAUGUGUGACAUGGAGACGGAUGGAGGAGGCUGGACGGUCUUAAAUACAUUUACGAGAUUACAACGCGUGGUUCCUACCAACUCCGUGUAGACAUUGUACGUUCGAACGGAAGCAAGGGAUACGAUGUGUACGGGGGCUUUAGUCUUUCGCCUGGAACGAACUACACACUGAACGUUGGGUCACGUGUACGGUCCGAUGGUCUUAUCAACACAUACCGCACAUACCGCUCAUUUAGUGAUGGAGACUCUUCAGGGACACCAGUCGGAAAUGCGUUCAGUACGUAUGAUCAUGACGUUGACCGUUGGUCGGGGGGCAACUGUGCAGCAGACUGGAGAGGGGGCUGGUGGUACAAUGCCUGCUAUGGCUUCAUCAAUCUGAAUGGACUUUACCGACCAAAACUAAAAAGUUCGCAAGCCAUGAUUUAUGACUCUACAGACGGUCUUGCUGCCAGCACCAUGAUGUUUAAAAGUGUGUCAUAACAAUGCCUCAUAUUUCAACUGUGUAUAUUAAUCAUUCACACCACCUAAUAAACCUUCUCAAUACGACCAUAACUUGUGCGCACAGAUCUUAAUGUCACAAACUAUACGUUGCAAUGUCUCUUAAGCUUGUUUAAAAUAAAGACACUAUAUAGCUGAUACUCGUUUGGGUUUCAAGUCAUAAUGAACUGAUUGCAAUGGUUAUUGUGUUCUGAUUUUAUAUAACCGUUUAGUAUUUAAAUAGUAAGGCAAUAGAAAUGCAAUGUCCUUAAUAGCUUAUCAAUUUGGUUUGUGAUGCUAUGAGGUUAAUACGUAUGUGGAUUUCAAUGUUAUAUGAAUACAUAUUGAUCAAUUGUGAAGUUUGGAACUCCUUAAAACCGGUUUAAACCAUCAGUGCUUUUGUAUUGAGCAUUCCAAGGCGGUGACCCCAGAGUUGUCCAUGAUAUUUGUGCUGUUGUAAUGAUAUGCGUAUCUUGUAUUGUACAUUUAUUUUUUAUCUCACUGUUUUGCAACUGAUUCCUCGCCAUAUAUAUACCCCAUUGUAUAAUAUAAGAUUUCUCUCCUUCCUGUGAAGCUGAAGUUUCAUUCUAUGUGUAUGACACCUGGCAAUAAAGUUAUUAACACGCUAUCAUAUCAAUUUGUGCUGUCUUCAAGGAUUCAUUAUCUCGACAUUUAUGACACUGAUUUAAUGACAUUUUGUUACAAGAAGAGCAACAUUUAACCUUAUAAAAUAUAUAUUCUCAAAUAUUCACUACCACAGGGUGGAGUUAUGAAAUAAUUACCGUGUGUUUAGCUUUCGGUUUUUCCGGAAAUGUUUCGAUAUAUAAUAUUGCUAUUGAUAAGAACAUAAGAUUACGAGUGUAUGUACGUUUGUACCAGGAUCUUUUAAAUUUUGAUAGAUACAUGUGUAGAUCACGAACAUCCAGUUUAAACGUAAAGUAUCGUACCUGAUUAGCCUGUGCAUUAUGCCCCGUUUUCACAGAUCGACACUCAUAUCGUUAAUCUAGCCAAUAAAUAGCGCCGAAAGAAGUACAUGUACUCUAAUCGAUAUUGUAUCAUGUUUUAUUGGAGAUAAUGCCAUAAACACUAAACAAGUAAGAUGCUUUGUAAGUAAACAAUGGACAUAAGAAUAAACUGACAAACAUG